rnacentral:rRNA from 1 species
UACGUAGGGGCCUAGCGUUGUCCGGAUUUAUUGGGCGUAAAGAGCUCGUAGGCGGUUCGGCAAGUCGGAUGUGAAAGUCCAGGGCUCAACCCUGGGAUGCCGGUGGAUACUGUCGGGCUCGAGUCCGGAAGAGGCGAGUGGAAUUCCUGGUGUAGCGGUGAAAUGCGCAGAUAUCAGGAGGAACACCAAUGGCGAAGGCAGCUCGCUGGGACGUGACUGACGCUGAGACGCGAAAGCGUGGGGAGCAAACAGG